CACACUCAAUAAGUGGAGGUUCAAUCUGAGCUUCUCUUGAGUGUCAAUGCUGUUUUUGAAUAGCUGGAUGGUUAGUGUCGUAACUUACUAUGUGACUACUCACCCUCCAGCUAUUCAAAAACAGCAUUGACACUCAAGAGAAGCUCAGAUUGAACCUCCACUCUUUGAGUGUGAGUGAGCUUUUAGAAUACAGGCGUUAGU
rnacentral:lncRNA from 1 species